AGAUAAUGGACAACAAAAAAUCAUCUGAAAUCAGGGAGAAACUCUGUAUUGUCUGUUCUCAUACUGUUCUUUAGAACUACCUGAGACCAGGGACUUCACCAGUGCUGCCAUGCUGGCCCCAUGAUGUGAGUGGGACCCAGACCAAGAAGUGCUGAGGACAAGGCCUGAAGCUGCUUAUCAACAAGGUGCAUACUUUGGACUUCAGGGGAGCAGAAGAUAACUUGCCACUCUACCACACGCACGGUGACCACAAGAUCGUAGAGGUGACAUGCCUCUCUCCACUAGAGAGAAGAGCUUUCCUUGGUUUACGAUAGCUUUGGCUGUAUCUUUGUUUACCAUCCCUUUAGUAAGGAGAUAUGACUAUUGCCUAAACAUACCGUUUUUUUCUUUUUUAAAGUAGGCUAUCUAUUUAUUGAGCUCAUUUUUUCCUUGCUAAAUGAUAUUAUUAUUCUCUCACAUAUUGCCCUGGAACUUGCUUAUCCCCUACUGAAUAAAUGUGUGGCUUUUCUUUCUCCAAUCUAAAAUCAGUGUUAUUCAUGUGCAACGUUGUUGCCUAAUUUUGAGUCUUAUUUACAAAAUGACUUGUAAAUAAGAAUUAGAUCCCAAAGAAAAUUAUUCCGGCUAAUUCUAAAUCUUUGAAAGUUAUUUCUAUGCUUUAGUUGUACUCUGUGAGGAUUUAUUACGGCCUUCUAGAGCUUUCUAGAAUUUGACAGAGAAGAAACAGCCUGAAAACCAACCUUUUGAGUAAGGUCAGAUAUUACUCAUAGGAGCUCACACACUUAGAUUCUUUUCUAAAUCCUAGGUUUGCUUUAGAGGACACAUAUCGAUCAAGCAUAUUGAUUAAACUUCAAUGAGAAGUUUAAUAGGAAACGCUUAUUUAAAAAUCUUCUCUGGCCAAAAAUUGAAUACGUAAUUUUAGGGCAAUAUGACGUGUUUUUGAGUGAUAAGCUGGAUUCUGAAAAGACAUUUAUUCAGUAAUGCUAUAAAGUAAUCAUAAUUCUUUUCACUAAUUGCAUUCA